rnacentral:rRNA from 1 species
CACGUAGUUAGCCGGGGCUUCUUGGUCAGGUACUGUCAUCUUCUUCCCUGCUGAUAGGGCUUUACAUACCGAAAUACUUCGUCACCCACGCGGCGUCGCUGCAUCAGGGUUUCCCCCAUUGUGCAAUAUUCCCCACUGCUGCCUCCCAUAGGAGUUUGGGCCGUGUCUCAGUCCCAAUGUGGCCGGUCACCCUCUCAGGUCGGCUACUGAUCGUCGGUUUGGUGGGCCGUUACCCCGCCAACUGCCUAAUCAGACGCGGGGCCAUCUCAUACCACCGGAGUUUUUCACACCCUGUGAUGCCACAGUGUGCGCUUAUGCGGCAUUAGCAGUCAUUUCUAACUGUUAUUCCCCUGUAUGAGGCAGGUUCCCCACGCGUUACUCACCCGUCCGCCGCUCAGUCAAAUGUCUCUCCAUCCGAAAACUUCAAGACAAGUGCUUCGCUCGACUUGCAUGUGUUAAGCACGCCGCCAGCGUUCAUCCUGAGCCAGGAUA